GAGGGUAACCUGCCUGUAAGACUGGGAUAACUCCGGGAAACCGGAGCUAAUACCGGAUAGUUCCUUGAACCGCAUGGUUCAAGGAUGAAAGACGGUUUCGGCUGUCACUUACAGAUGGACCCGCGGCGCAUUAGCUAGUUGGUGGGGUAAUGGCUCACCAAGGCGACGAUGCGUAGCCGACCUGAGAGGGUGAUCGGCCACACUGGGACUGAGACACGGCCCAGACUCCUACGGGAGGCAGCAGUAGGGAAUCUUCCGCAAUGGACGAAAGUCUGACGGAGCAACGCCGCGUGAGUGAUGAAGGUUUUCGGAUCGUAAAGCUCUGUUGUUAGGGAAGAACAAGUGCGAGAGUAACUGCUCGCACCUUGACGGUACCUAACCAGAAAGCCACGGCUAACUACGUGCCAGCAGCCGCGGUAAUACGUAGGUGGCAAGCGUUGUCCGGAAUUAUUGGGCGUAAAGGGCUCGCAGGCGGUUUCUUAAGUCUGAUGUGAAAGCCCCCGGCUCAACCGGGGAGGGUCAUUGGAAACUGGGAAACUUGAGUGCAGAAGAGGAGAGUGGUAUUCCACGUGUAGCGGUGAAAUGCGUAGAGAUGUGGAGGAACACCAGUGGCCGAAUGCGACUCUCUGGUCUGUAACUGACGCUGAGAGCGAAAGCGUGGGGAGCGAACAGGAUUAGAUACCCUGGUAGUCCACCGCCGUAAACGAUGAGUGCUAAGUGUUAGGGGGUUUCCGCCCCUUAGUGCUGCAGCUAACGCAUUAAGCACCUCCGCCUGGGGAGUACGGUCGCAAGACUG
rnacentral:rRNA from 1 species